AUGGGAACGCGAAGAACCUUACCUACUCUUGACAUCCAGAGAACUUAGCAGAGAUGCUUUGGUGCCUUCGGGAACUCUGAGACAGGUGCUGCGUGGCUGUCGUCAGCUCGUGUUGUGAAAUGUUGGGUUAAGUCCCGCAACGAGCGCAACCCUUAUCCUUUGUUGCCAGCGAUUCGGUCGGGAACUCAAAGGAGACUGCCAGUGAUAAACUGGAGGAAGGUGGGGAUGACGUCAAGUCAUCAUGGCCCUUACGAGUAGGGCUACACACGUGCUACAAUGGCGCAUACAAAGAGAAGCGACCUCGCGAGAGCAAGCGGACCUCAUAAAGUGCGUCGUAGUCCGGAUUGGAGUCUGCAACUCGACUCCAUGAAGUCGGAAUCGCUAGUAAUCGUAGAUCAGAAUGCUACGGUGAAUACGUUCCCGGGUCUUGUACACACCG
rnacentral:rRNA from 1 species